CUGGUGUCAGCCACCGCGGUAAUACCAGCACCUCGAGUGGUCAGGACGUUUAUUGGGCCUAAAGCAUCCGUAGCCGGCUCUGCAAGUCUUCGGUUAAAUCCACCUGCUCAACAGAUGGGCUGCUGGAGAUACUACAGAGCUAGGGAGUGGGAGAGGCAGACGGUAUUCAGUGGGUAGGGGUAAAAUCCUCUGAUCCAUUGAGGACCACCAGUGGCGAAGGCGGUCUGCCAGAACACGUUCGACGGUGAGGGAUGAAAGCUGGGGGAGCAAACCGGAUUAGAUACCCGGGUAGUCCCAGCUGUAAACGAUGCAAACUCGGUGAUGCAUUGGCUUAUGGCCAAUGCAGUGCCGCAGGGAAGCCGUUAAGUUUGCCGCCUGGGAAGUACGGACGCAAGUCUGAAACUUAAAGGAAUUGGCGGGGGAGCACCACAGGGGGUGAAGCCUGCGGUUCAAUUGGAGUCAACGCCAGGAAUCUUACCCGGGGAGACAGCAGAAUGAAGGUCAAGCUGAAGACUUUACCAGACAAGCU
rnacentral:rRNA from 2 species